rnacentral:rRNA from 1 species
GACGAACGCUGGCGGCGUGCUUAACACAUGCAAGUCGAACGAAGUGGCGAACGGGUGAGUAACGCGUAAUCAACCUGCCCUUCAGAGGGGGACAACAGUUGGAAACGACUGCUAAUACCGCAUACUGAAGGAGGGGAUUGCGUCUGAUUAGCUAGUUGGAGGGGUAACGGCCCACCAAGGCGAUGAUCAGUAGGCCGGCUGGGAAGGAGAACCGGCCAAAUGGGACCUGUACACGGCCCAGACUCUACCGGGAGCCACAAGUGGGAAACCUUCGGCAAUGACGGAAAGCCGACGGGGGAAAGGCGGGUUGGGUAAUGACGGCCUCCGGUUGUAAAGCUUUUGUAAUCGGGACGCGGUACCGGAAUAGAAAGCCACGGCUAACUACGUGCCAGCCGCCGCGGUAAUUC